rnacentral:rRNA from 1 species
UACGAAGGAUCCAAGCGUUGUCCGGAUUUACUGGGUUUAAAGGGAGCGUAGGCGGUCUAAUAAGUCAGUGGUGAAAGCCUUCAGCUUAACUGAAGAAUUGCCAUUGAAACUGCUAGACUCGAGUAUGGUUGAGGUCACUGGAAUGUAACAUGUAGCGGUGAAAUGCAUAGAUAUGUUACAGAACACCAAUUGCGAAGGCAGGUGACUAAGCCAUAACUGACGCUGAGGCUCGAAAGCGUGGGGAGCAAACAGGAUUAGAUACCCUGGUAGUCCACGCCCUAAACUAUGAAUACUCGGUCUUGGCGAUAUACAGUCAGGGCCCAAGCGAAAGCGUUAAGUAUUCCACCUGGGAAGUACGUUCGCAAGAAUG